rnacentral:rRNA from 1 species
AUUGAACGCUGGCGGCAGGCCUAACACAUGCAAGUCGAACGAGUGGCGGACGGGUGAGUAAUGUCUGGGAAACUGCCCGAUGGAGGGGGAUAACUACUGGAAACGGUAGCUAAUACCGCAUACCAUCGGAUGUGCCCAGAUGGGAUUAGCUAGUAGGUGGGGUAACGGCUCACCUAGGCGACGAUCCCUAGCUGGUCUGAGAGGAUGACCAGCCACACUGGAACUGCGACACGGUCCAGACUCCUACGGGAGGCAGCAGUAGGGAAUCUUCCGCAAUGGGCGAAAGCCUGACGUAGCAAUGCCGCUUGAGUGAUGAAGGUCUUCGGAUCUUAAAACUCUGUUAUUGGGGAGGCGGUACCUAAUCAGAAAGCCCCGGCUAACUCCGUGCCAGCAGCCGCGGUAAUAC